rnacentral:rRNA from 1 species
AACGAACGCUGGCGGCAUGCCUAACACAUGCAAGUCGAACGAAGUCUUCGGACUUAGUGGCGCACGGGUGCGUAACGCGUGGGAAUCUGCCCUUGGGUGCGGAAUAACUUCUCGAAAGGGAUGCUAAUACCGCAUAAUGUCGUAAGACCAAAGAUUUAUCGCCCAAGGAUGAGCCCGCGUAAGAUUAGCUAGUUGGUGGGGUAAAAGCCUACCAAGGCGACGAUCUUUAGCUGGUCUGAGAGGAUGAUCAGCCACACUGGGACUGAGACACGGCCCAGACUCCUACGGGAGGCAGCAGUGGGAAUAUUGGACAAUGGGCGAAAGCCUGAUCCAGCAAUGCCGCGUGAGUGAUGAAGGCCCUAGGGUUGUAAAGCACUUUCAGUGGGGGAGGAAAAGUUGCCGGCGAAUACCCGGCGACCGUGACGCUACCUGCAGAAGAAGCACCGGCAAACUCCGUGCCAGCAGCCGCGGUAA